CCCUUAGAUGUUCUGGGCCGCACGCGCGCUACACUGAUCAGUGCAACAAGCAUCCGUCCUUGGCCGACAGGCCCGGGCAAUCUUUGAACGCUGAUCGUGAUGGGGAUAGACUUUUGCAAUUUUUGGUCUUCAACGAGGAAUUCCUAGUAAACGCAAGUCAUCAACUUGCAUUGAUUACGUCCCUGCCCUUUGUACACACCGCCCGUCGCUCCUACCGAUUGAAUGUGUUGGUGAGGAGCUCGGAUUGGCAGCAGUUGGUGGUUCGCCACCGGCUAUUGCUGAGAAGUCCUCCAAACCGCCCCAUUUAGAGGAAGGAGAAGUCGUAACA
rnacentral:rRNA from 1 species